AAAAAGACAAACCCUGGUUUCCGUGCCCAACAUUUGACCGUCCGUCUUAUUUGAAAAAAUUAUAAAAAAAAAUUAAAAAGACAAGUCACGCAUAAAAUAUUAAUCAUAUUUUAUCAUCUAACAACAAUAAAAAUACGAAUUAUAAAAAAAUUUCAUAUAAAACGGACAAUCAAAGUUGGACACGGAAACCCAGGGUUUAUCUUUUU
rnacentral:pre_miRNA from 1 species